AACAUAACAUAUAAAAAUACUUGAAUGUACAUACAAAAAUUAUUUUAAUUAAUUGUUCGGUGAUAGAGGUAUGAUCUCCAUCUCUGUCCCCAAACCACUCUUGCGAGAUUUUCUCUCUCAUCCCCCUUUUCCAUGGAGAAAAAUUCUAUUUCAGCGUGCCUUCAAUUUCAAAGAAAAGGAAAAGUCCUAAAGGUUUUAGAUGCUUAAGAAGGAAAAGACUGAAUGUUUUAUAAACUUCAUCAAAAAAGCAACCCAUAUUUUGCACUAUUUACAUCACCCCUCUAGUAAUUAACACUAUUUAUUGUAUUAAGAGUAGAUUGCCAAUUCAACAUGUUUUUUACACUCCAAACCCUAGGUAAAUUAGAUCUCAACUCCAUGGUUAUGGUGAGAAAAUCUUGCAACUGAGAAAUGUUGUUCAACUUUGUCAUUGCUCUUGUUUGUUAAUUGUCUUCACUUGUGUUAACUUCUACAACAACGUUGUGUGGACAAUGAGGAGUGAAGGAAAAAUCUAGUGAAGUGUUUGUAUGGUAGAUUUUGUGUGACUUCACCAUCGAAUGAUGGAAAAAUGUUGUGCACGGUGCACAACCUAACUAGCUUAAGCAUUGUAGCAAUCACCCUAAAAUGAAACGAUUCCUUUGUUUAACCUUCAGAUCCUGAGCUAGUCUUCUUCUUGUCAAAUGACAUUACCUUUUUUUUUCUCAUGUUUUUUUACAAUACAAAAUAGGGUGAGAAAUGUUGUCUAGUAUCUAUCUCAUGUUUUUUUACAAUACAAAUAUAGGGUGAGAGAUGGUGUCUCGUAACUAUACAAGGUAGAAAAACCCUCCGGACUCAAUAAACACUUAUAGAGGAAUUUAAUUUUAUCCCUUUCAAUGACACUAGCGAGAUACAAACUCGUAGUCUACAAGUUUUCCUCUUGUCAAAUGACAUUACCCUUUAGUUUCUCAUGUUCUGAAUUAAUAGACCCUAAUAAUAAAAUUUCUUAAGCGAGUAAAUCUAUAAUUAAAUUUUUUGUUCUUAUAAAAAUGUAAGUAUAUUCUCAAUACCUUUAUGAAAACUUGUUAAAGGUAAAUAAAAUUGUUACUGUACAAAAAAAAAACUAAUAUUAAUAUGUGAAUGAAAUUAUAUAUGUAACUUCAGUACCUUGUAAGUCUUUUUAUGAGGGAAUCAUUACCUUUUAGACUUUGGAAAAAGCUAUUUGAUCUCUCUAUACAUAGCCAGCCGCACACAACACAACCAUUAAAAUUCACAUAAAACGCAAUAUUCAAAGACUAGCUGUUCAACCCUAGUGAUUACGGAUAAAAUAUGUAAAUAAAAAUCACAUAAUAAAAGGAUGGUAUAAACAAUACUUCAACAAACAGUGACAUAAUUAGAAUUUCGAAAUUGCUGGGAAGAGGAGUUCCACCAUACAAGCACCUCCAAAGACAUUUUUAAAUCCUUUAAAGUUAUUUAACUCAUUCAUCAUGGACACUAGCGAUCUGCACGGAUUUAUUGAACUUAAUCUUAUUACCUAUCUCUCUCUCCUCCUUGUAAUUUGAAUUCUCUUUCUUUUUAUUUAUUUAUUUUUCCUUCCCCCAACAUCCUUUGUGUUACCCAUAGAAAAAUAAAGGGAUAUAGUGAAAGCUACUAAAGGAAACAAUUAUAUAACACAUAACCACAUAAUUUUUUUAAUGACAAAUUCCUUAUAAUAACUCCUUCAAGUUUAGAAGUAAAAAAUAAAUACAUUUAUUGUAGAAGAUUACUAAGAAUUAAAGAAAAAUAUAAAAAGUAAAACUAUAAAACUCAAGAGAGAAGAAUAAUAAUACAUGAUAUUACACACUAUACUUUCUUAAAUUUAUAACAAAUAAUCUUGACCUAGAUUAUUAAAGAUCUUGGACUUGCAAGGUCAAGAAAACUUGAAAAUUAUUUAUAAAGUUAAAAAAAUGAAAACAAAGACAUAAGAAGAAUAAGCUCAGGAGAGAUAUCGCCAUGAUGUUCACCACACUUCCCUUUGUUUUUGUAUAUUGUAACCAUCAUCUUCAUCUUGAAAGGCCAUAACAAAGAGCAUUGUAGCCAUUUCCUCUAUGAAACAGUACAUGGUGAGAAAAACCAGAGACUGGUUGAAGAAGUUGAGCUAAGGAAGGUUAAACUCAACUUGAAUACAUUUGCAUGUAUGAGAUGAGAUGUAAUCCAAUGUAAUGAAAUGGAAGUAUAUAUAAUGAAAACUCAAGAGUGUAUAAGAAACUCUUGUGACCCUUUAUGAUAGAUGAAGAAAAUCAGAGGGAAGGAAAUAAAAAUGCAAAAAAAGACAUGAAAGACAGAAGCAGUGAAUAUAAGUGAUGAUUACCUGCACAUAAAAUUAGGGUUGAUGUGUCGCUUUCUAGCUAGGGUGAGACAGAAAGGAUAAUGAGAGUUUGUUUUUCUUGGGAUUCAAAAAUGGAGUACCCUUUAUUCUUGCUAGGACCCUCUGCAUACCCUCUUAAAUUUUUAUGUCAGGUUCUUGGCCUACUCAUGCUGACAUUCUUGCUACCAAACAGCUAAUUUUUUUUUUUUCAUUUUGAACUGUGAAUUGUUUCUUUGGGUCAUUAGUUAUGUACUAUCAUGUUUUAUUGCAUUGUACCAUAUUCUUUUCAUUAGCUACAAUUUUGUGCAUAUAUUCGCAUCCUCUUUAAUCAUCAUGUAUAUUAUAUCCUACCCCUAUGUCCUACUAUACAAUUAGUACAAUCUUACGGUUUUGAAAAUACAAUUAAUCAAUACAUUGAUACUUUAUAGGUGAACUUGUCAGGCAUGGUUAUUUGUUGCUGUCAUAUUGGUAAACUGUACACUCAGUUUAAUUUUAGACAAAUUGAAAAUGUUCACAUUGUUUUUAUCAUAUAAUAUGUUAAUUAUUUUCACGUUCCACCUAAUUUUUGGUUUCUUAUGAUAAUAUUUUGCUUUUCUCGGUUUCACACUGAUGAUAAUCUUUGUAGCCUCUAUAUGACACUUGUUGCGUAUGGGAUUUGGAAACCUGAGGUCAAUAAGGUAAAAGCAUAUUUUAUUUCUAGUGUAUAUAUAGUUGAUGGAACUUUAAUUAACAUAUAAAUUCCAUAAAUUAUAACUAAAUGAAAAUGAAUGAUGGAAAUCUAUACUAAUAAAUACUCCAUCCAUCUCAAAAUAUAAUAAAAAAAUUAGGUGUUUUUAGUUUUAAUCUGGACUAAAUACAUCUAUUUUUUUUUAUAUUUUAGGGAUUAAGGAAGUAAUAUUCUAUAUUUUUAUAUAAUUAUGUGAUAUUUUCAGUAACAAAUUAUUGUCAUGUUAUUACAUAAUGCAUUAAAUUGCUCAUGCUAUUUUACCACAAACAAUGUAACCUCUAACACAUCUUGUGCUUAUGUUUUAUUGGUUCUGUUAAUAAUUUUGAUUCCCCUAGCUGUUAAAAUAUUAUUGUUACAUAAUAGGUUGAUUAUUUUUGGCUAAGUUUAAGGUUUGAGGCUUGUUUGUAUUAAGAGUAACUUUUUAGAAUAUAGCUAUCUAUGUACAGGUUGGAAUCUCCAUUGUACUCUCUUCAUAAAUACAUGUAUAUAUUUACAUUAACUUGAUUUUGUAAAAUUGAUUAAGUUAAAAUAAAAUCUGAAGUUAAAUGUAAAAAUUAAACGGUG
rnacentral:lncRNA from 1 species